AGCUCCGAGGUGUGCUUACAUAUCAGAUUGCAAAUCUGAAGAAGCAGACUAGACAUCUGCCGGGGCUU
rnacentral:tRNA from 1 species